rnacentral:rRNA from 2 species
AAGCGCCCCGCCUGGGGAGUACGGCCGCAAGGCUAAAACUCAAAGGAAUUGACGGGGGCCCGCACAAGCGGCGGAGCAUGCGGAUUAAUUCGAUGCAACGCGAAGAACCUUACCAAGGCUUGACAUGCACCGGACGACUGCAGAGAUGUGGUUUCCCUUUGUGGCUGGUGCACAGGUGGUGCAUGGUUGUCGUCAGCUCGUGUCGUGAGAUGUUGGGUUAAGUCCCGCAACGAGCGCAACCCUCGUUCCAUGUUGCCAGCACGUGAUGGUGGGGACUCAUGGGAGACUGCCGGGGUCAACUCGGAGGAAGGUGGGGAUGACGUCAAAUCAUCAUGCCCCUUAUGUCUUGGGCUUCACGCAUGCUACAAUGGCCGGUACAGAGGGUUGCGAGACCGUGAGGUGGAGCGAAUCCCUUAAAGCUGGUCUCAGUUCGGAUUGGGGUCUGCAACUCGACCCUAUGAAGUUGGAGUCGCUAGUAAUCGCAGAUCAGCAACGCUGCGGUGAAUACGUUCCCGGGCCUUG